rnacentral:rRNA from 1 species
AACGAACGCUGGCGGCAUGCCUAACACAUGCAAGUCGAACGAGACCUUCGGGUCUAGUGGCGCACGGGUGCGUAACGCGUGGGAACCUGCCCUUAGGUUCGGAAUAACUUCCCGAAAGGGGUGCUAAUACCGGAUAAUGUCUUCGGACCAAAGAUUUAUCGCCUUUGGAUGGGCCCGCGUUGGAUUAGCUAGUUGGUAGGGUAAAAGCCUACCAAGGCGACGAUCCAUAGCUGGUCUGAGAGGAUGAUCAGCCACACUGGGACUGAGACACGGCCCAGACUCCUGCGGGAGGCAGCAGUGGGGAAUAUUGGACAGUGGGCGAAAGCCUGAUCCAGCAAUGCCGCGUGAGUGAUGAAGGCCUUAGGGUUGUAAAGCUCUUUUACCCGGGAUGAUAAUGACAGUACCGGGAGAAUAAGCUCCGGCUAACUCCGUG